rnacentral:rRNA from 1 species
UACGUAGGGUGCAAGCGUUGUCCGGAAUUAUUGGGCGUAAAGAGCUCGUAGGCGGUUUGUCGCGUCUGCUGUGAAAACUCGGGGCUUAACUCCGGGCCUGCAGUGGGUACGGGCAGACUAGAGUGCGGUAGGGGAGACUGGAAUUCCUGGUGUAGCGGUGAAAUGCGCAGAUAUCAGGAGGAACACCGGUGGCGAAGGCGGGUCUCUGGGCCGUAACUGACGCUGAGGAGCGAAAGCGUGGGGAGCGAACAGGA